GACGAACGCUGGCGGCGUGCUUAACACAUGCAAGUCGAACGGAAAGACCCUGCUCUUGUUGGGUUCUCGAUUGGCGCACGGGUGAGUAACACGCGAGUAACCUCCCCUUAUCUUUGUGAUAACUUCAGGAAACAGCGGCUAUUACCGCGUAUGAGCUCCUGCUCCAUGUUGGGGGUUGGAAAGUUUCGGCCGUUGGGGAUCGUCUCGCGGCUUAUCAGCUUGUUGGUGGGGUAGUGGCUUACCAGGGCUUUGACGGGUAGCCGGCAUGAGAGGGUUACCGGCCACAUGGGGACUGAGGGACGGACCAGACUGCUACGGGAGGCAGCAGGGGGGAAUAUGACAGAAUGGGCGGAAGCCUGUGGCAGCAAUGCCGCGUGCGGGAUGACGGCCUACGGGUGAAGAACAGAUGUCGACGGUGACGAAGCCGGAGUGACGGUAAUGGGUAAAGAAGCAACGGCUAACUACGUG
rnacentral:rRNA from 1 species